rnacentral:rRNA from 1 species
UACACUCCUGCGGGAGGCAGCAGUGGGGAAUUUUGGACAAUGGGCGAAAGCCUGAUCCAGCAAUGCCGCGUGAGUGAAGAAGGCCUUCGGGUUGUAAAGCUCUUUUGUCAGGGAAGAAACGGUGAAAGCUAAUAUCUUUUGCUAAUGACGGUACCUGAAGAAUAAGCACCGGCUAACUACGUGCCAGCAGCCGCGGUAAUACGUAGGGUGCAAGCGUUAAUCGGAAUUACUGGGCGUAAAGCGUGCGCAGGCGGUUUUGUAAGUCUGAUGUGAAAUCCCCGGGCUCAACCUGGGAAUUGCAUUGGAGACUGCAAGGCUAGAAUCUGGCAGAGGGGGGUAGAAUUCCACGUGUAGCAGUGAAAUGCGUAGAUAUGUGGAGGAACACCGAUGGCGAAGGCAGCCCCCUGGGUCAAGAUUGACGCUCAUGCACGAAAGCGUGGGGAGCAAACAGGAUUAGAAACCCCAGUAGUCCCAU